GACGAACGCUGGCGGCGUGCCUAAUACAUGCAAGUCGAACGCUGAAGGAGGAGCUUGCUUCUCUGGCUGAGUUGCGAACGGGUGAGUAACGCGUAGGUAACCUGCCUGGUAGCGGGGGAUAACUAUUGGAAACGAUAGCUAAUACCGCAUAAUAUUGACUAUUGCAUGAUAGUCAGUUGAAAGGUGCAACUGCACCACUACCAGAUGGACCUGCGUUGUAUUAGCUAGUUGGUGGGGUAACGGCUCACCAAGGCGACGAUACAUAGCCGACCUGAGAGGGUGAUCGGCCAACCUGGGACUUGGACACGGCCCAGACUCCUACGGGAGGCAGCAGGAGGGAAUCUUCGGCCAUGGACGGAAGUCUGACCGAGCCACGCCGCGUGAGUGAAGAAGGGUUUCGGAUCGUAAAGCUCUGUUGUAAGAGAAGAACGAGUGUGAGAGUGGAAAGCUCACACUGUGACGGUAGCUUAACAGAAAGGGACGGCUAACUACGUG
rnacentral:rRNA from 1 species